CAGGAGAUAGUUUAGUAAAGAAUACCAGCUUUGGGAGCUGGAGGUAGAGGUUUGAAUCCUCUUUUUCUGA
rnacentral:tRNA from 1 species